rnacentral:rRNA from 1 species
UACGAAGGGGGCUAGCGUUGCUCGGAAUCACUGGGCGUAAAGGGUGCGUAGGCGGCCUGAUAAGUCGGGUGUGAAAGCCCUGGGCUCAACCCAGGAAGUGCACUCGAAACUGUCAGGCUUGAAUAUGGAAGAGGGUCGCGGAAUUCCCGGUGUAGAGGUGAAAUUCGUAGAUAUCGGGAGGAACACCAGUGGCGAAGGCGGCGACCUGGGCCAAUAUUGACGCUGAGGUGCGAAAGCGUGGGGAGCAAACAGG